CCGGUUGAUCCUGCCGGAGGCCACUGCUAUUGGGAUCCGACUAAGCCAUGCGAGUCGAGAGGGUUCGGCCCUCGGCAGACUGCUCAGUAACACGUGGAUAACCUAACCUUAGGUGGAAGAUAACCUCGGGAAACUGAGAAUAAUAUUCCAUAGAUCUAGGAUGCUGGAAUGCAUCUAGAUUGAAAGUUCCGACGCCUAAGGAUGGGUCUGCGGACCAUCAGGUUGUAGUCAGGGUAAAGACCUGACUAGCCUACGACGGAUAUGGGUUGUGAGAGCAAUAGCCCAGAGACGAUAUCUGAGACACGAUAUCGGGCCCUACGGGGCGCAGCAGGCGCGAAAUCUUCACAAUGUGCGAAAGCACGAUGAGGGGAUCCCAAGUGCUGGCACGUAAGUGUCAGCUGUUUCUUAGUCUAAAAAACUGAGAGAGUAAGGGCUGGGUAAGACGGGUGCCAGCCGCCGCGGUAAUACCUGCAGCUCAAGUGGUGGCCGCUAUUAUUAGGCCUAAAACGUCCGUAGCCUGUUUAGUAAAUGCUUGGGUAAAUUGUGUAGCUUAACUAUACGAAUACCGGGUAGACUGCUAAACUUGGGACCGGGAGAGGCUAGAGGUACUCCUGGGGUAGAGGUGAAAUUCUGUAAUCCUAGGGGGANCACCAGUGGCGAAGGCGUCUAGCUAGAACGGGUCUGACGGUGAGGGACGAAG
rnacentral:rRNA from 1 species